UACAGAGGAUGCAAGCGUUAUCCGGAAUUACUGGGCGUAAAGCGUCUGCAGGUGGGCUUUUAAGUCCUUUGUUAAAGCCUGAGGCUUAACCUCAGAAAAGCAAAGGAAACUAUUAGUCUAGAGGAUGGUAGAGGUAGAGGGAAUUUCCAGUGGAGCGGUGAAAUGCGUAGAUAUUGGAAAGAACGCCAAUGGCGAAAGCACUCUACUGGGCCAUUUCUGACACUCAGAGACGAAAGCUAGGGGAGCAAAUGGG
rnacentral:rRNA from 1 species